rnacentral:rRNA from 1 species
UACGUAGGUGGCAAGCGUUGUCCGGAAUUAUUGGGCGUAAAGCGCGCGCAGGCGGUCUUUUAAGUCUGAUGUGAAAGCCCUCGGCUCAACCGGGGAAGUGCACUCGAAACUGCAUGGCUAGAGUCUCGGAGAGGAUCGUGGAAUUCUCGGUGUAGAGGUGAAAUUCGUAGAUAUCGAGAGGAACACCGGUGGCGAAGGCGGCGAUCUGGACGAUGACUGACGCUGAGACGCGAAAGCGUGGGGAGCAAACAGG